UGGGGAAUAUUGCACAAUGGGGGAAACCCUGAUGCAGCGACGCCGCGUGAACGAAGAAGGUAUUCGUAUCGUAAAGUUCUGUCCUAUGGGAAGAUAAUGACAGUACCAUAGAAGAAAGCUCCGGCUAAAUACGUGCCAGCAGCCGCGGUAAUACGUAUGGAGCGAGCGUUGUCCGGAAUUAUUGGGCGUAAAGGGUACGCAGGCGGUUUAAUAAGACGAAUGUUAAAGAUCGGGGCUCAACCCCGCAAAGCAUUGGAAACUGAUAAACUUGAGUAGUGGAGAGGAAAGUGGAAUUCCUAGUGUAGUGGUGAAAUACGUAGAUAUUAGGAGGAAUACCAGUAGCGAAGGCGACUUUCUGGACACAAACUGACGCUGAGGUACGAAAGCGUGGGGAGCAAACAGG
rnacentral:rRNA from 1 species